GACGAACGCUGGCGGCGUGCUUAACACAUGCAAGUCGAACGGUGAAGCGCCUUCCUUUUUGGUGGGUGUGGAUGAGUGGCGAACGGGUGAGUAACACGUGAGUAACCUGCCCCCUUCUUCUGGAUAACCGCAUGAAAGUGUGGCUAAUACGGGAUAUUCUGGGUCUGUCGCAUGAUGGGUCUGGGAAAGAUAUUGUUUCGGUGGGGGAUGGGCUCGCGGCCUAUCAGCUUGUUGGUGGGGUGAUGGCCUACCAAGGCGGUGACGGGUAGCCGGCCUGAGAGGGUGGACGGUCACACUGGGACGGAGACACGGCCCAGACUCCUACGGGAGGCAGCAGUGGGGAAUAUUGCACAAUGGGCGCAAGCCUGAUGCAGCGACGCCGCGUGAGGGAUGGAGGCCUUCGGGUUGUGAACCUCUUUCGCCAGUGAAGCAGGCCUGCCUCGUUUGCGGGUGGGUUGACGGUAGCUGGAUAAGAAGCGCCGGCUAACUACGUG
rnacentral:rRNA from 1 species